AGUGAGAGCAAGGCUCAGUAAAGCACGUCGUGUGCCUCUGUCUUUGUGGCUGUUUCCAGGGCAGAAGCAGUGUCCACAGGACAAACUGGGAUAGCAGACCCAGCUGCCUGCAGGCAGCACAGCUACGGGUUUGUGCAUGGUUGUCAGAGGAGCAAGGCACAGCUUAGCUAAGCAGCUAUUAUCUAUCAAGCUAUCUGUUUAAUACUUGGAGUACUGCCUAGUAGUAUCAUAGGAAGAUGGGUUAAAUAUUAUCCCCCCAGGACUGGCUCCUUAACUUGUCUCGGUAUAGAAUUCCCUGCCCUCCACCCUAUCUUCUGCUCUUGGCUUUAUUCCCUCCAGCCAGCUUCUGCAUCUAACCUCUGUCCCUUCCCCUCCUCUGUGCUGCUGCUUGAUCACUAUCAUCACAGUUCCUGCCCUACUUGGAACGGGAGGCACCAGGGCAGUUCCCCUGAAGAAGCCAGUGUCAGACUCCCUGUAGAAGUAAGAUUGUGCUACAGGUAACUAGAUGAAAGAAUGUCUGAGGCUUGAGGGGAUGUGUCCUGUAUGGCCUAGAUGUCCCGUCCUCACCAUGAUGUUGCAUUUUUCUGCUCUGGACAAACAGGAAAAGUCUUAAAGAAAAAUGCUCUUGUGACUUGAACAGCCUAUAGAAGCCCAAAACUGAAUCUCAUUUCUCAGCUCCCAACACCUCCUUUCCCCUGGACAGUAUGGGCCAAUGUCACCAGAACCUCACACACCUUGCCCUGUAAGGAGACAGCCAAAAAAAGCAGGACAAACAGCACCCAGACCAGACAGAUGGCUGAUGGCUUGUGGGGCUCCAGGACUUGAGCUCCAAUGUCAGUUGCUGGGAAAUGAAAGCUUUGCCUCCAGACUUAAUUGAUCCCAUUCAUGCUAUGUAAACUCACAGCUAGGGCACUCUGGACCGUGGAAGACAAUGGCUGUUGGCACUGCUCCCUUCCCACACCCGGUGCUGGGUCAGACCUGAGAUGAGCCCCUUCUCCAAGCAGCCCCUUACCAGUGGGUGUCUCAGUCGCUCCUCGCUGCAGCAGGAUUGCCCCACCCUCUGCUGUCAGAUGUCUGUUUGCUUCUAAAAGCCUGAGGGAGACAUGGCAGAGACAUUGUGCUGCUGAAAAAAAAGGAGGAAGCGAAGCGAAAAUGGCAUGACAAGGUGACAGCAAGCUCUCAAGCUGUUUCAGAGAAGAGCAGGAAGCUGACUAUAGAAGCAAAAAGUCUUGCAAUGAGAUACCAGAAGAGAACUUGAAUGAGCAGAACCGUUACCGUUCCCCGUUAUGGUUCAUGCAGCCGUAACUGCCCAAGGUGAGGACAGGCAGCAAAUGAAGAGACAGGUGGGAACCCACCUCUGCAACGCUGCUUCAGGGCUACGGGCUUUGGGAGCUUGCUGCUUUGCUUCUAGACUCAGUAAUCUAUCAAUAGCCAGCCGCUUUGACUUCAGCCAUGCCUCAGUGUCCUAAAACAAAGAGAUGUACAGUGCACGAAUAA